GACCCAAUGAGCGCAGCUGCUUUGGGACCCCAACCUAGGAGGGUGACACGGAGCUGGAAGCCCCACAGGCCACGUGGGAUUGAACCGUGAGCGUGAUGUCCUGCUGCUCAAGGCCCUGCAGGGACACUCUGAGACCCUGCUUUGCCCGCUGUGCCCGUGGCCAUCUGCUUCCACCUCUGGGGACAGCCCUGCCCUUUGGAGCAGGCCGACUCCUACCAGAAAAGGCUGCAGCCUUCUGGUCUCCCUGCCUGGAGCUGACCACCUACUGAGGCCGGCAGGGGUUAUAAACCUCCACCUCCAGGAAGAUCCCUUCCAGCUGUCACCUGCCAAGGAGCUCACCAGCUCCUGAUGUCGGGAGGUGAGGAUCUUGGCUGCAACAAAACCAAACGAGGCAAGGACAAGGAUGAGAACGUGCUGCAAGCUGAGAGCAGGGCCAGGAUCGCACGACCAAUGGGAGCCAUUCCAAAAGCUGCUGCGUAGACAGUGGGGAUAAACGCGUCGAAUGUCUGUGUAGCCACGUGGUGGUCCUGGUGGCAUCAGGGAUAAGUGACCAGAUACACCAAGCCUCAAGGCCCACAGAUGCAUGACCCUGUCCUGUACACAGGGUCUCACUAUGCAGCCCAGGCUGGCCUCCAAUGUUUGGAUUCUCCUCUCUCAGCCUUGCAAGUGUUAGGAUUACAGGUGAGAAAUGGGCCCGUCAGGACACCAUGACACACAGAGGCAGGAAAUGGCCAAGCCCCGAGCUGGGCCAGCUUCCCACGGGGCCUGCCAAGGGAUAUUCGAGGGCAAGUACCCCUCCUUGCCCUCCGCUAGCGGGAAUCCAGUGCUCAUUGUGCCUCAAAAGUUCCCCCUGCCUCAGCUUCCUGCUCCUUCCUCUCCCACAUCCAUCCUCCCUGUACUGUUCACAGUGCUGCUUACUGAAACUGCAGGAGGACUGGGC
rnacentral:lncRNA from 1 species